rnacentral:rRNA from 1 species
AACUGCUACGAAAGAGCAGCUUAACUACCGCAUACCGACCUGGAGGGUAGAAGGGGGGGAUCGCAAGACCUCUCGCUAUUGGAGCGGCCGAUAUCAGAUUAGCUAGUUGGUGGGGUAAAGGCCUACCAAGGCAACGAUCUGUAGUUGGUCUGAGAGGACGACCAGCCACACUGGGACUGAGACACGGCCCAGACUCCUACGGGAGGCAGCAGUGAGGAAUAUUGGACAAUGGGCGCAAGCCUGAUCCAGCCAUGCCGCGUGCAGGAUGAAGCAUCUAUGGUGUGUAAACUGCUUUUGUACGAGAAGAAACACUCCUUCGUGAAGGGGCUUGACGGUAUCGUAAGAAUAAGGAUCGGCUAACUCCGUG